CAGCUCAGCAGGAGAGCAUCUGCUUUGCAUGCAGAAGGUCGCCGGUUCAAUCUCCAGGUCGGGCUGGG